UGGGGAAUAUUGCACAAUGGGCGCAAGCCUGAUGCAGCCAUGCCGCGUGUAUGAAGAAGGCCUUCGGGUUGUAAAGUACUUUCAGUCGGGAGGAAGGUGGUAAGGUUAAUAACCUUAUCAAUUGACGUUACCGACAGAAGAAGCACCGGCUAACUCCGUGCCAGCAGCCGCGGUAAUACGGAGGGUGCAAGCGUUAAUCGGAAUUACUGGGCGUAAAGCGCACGCAGGCGGUUGAUUGAGUCAGAUGUGGAAUCCCCGGGCUUAACCCGGGAAUUGCAUCUGAUACUGGGCAGCUAGAGUCUUGUAGAGGGGGGUAGAAUUCCAUGUGUAGCGGUGAAAUGCGUAGAGAUGUGGAGGAAUACCGGUGGCGAAGGCGGCCCCCUGGACAAAGACUGACGCUCAGGUGCGAAAGCGUGGGGAGCAAACAGG
rnacentral:rRNA from 1 species